AGAGCACUCAUUACUGAAACACAAAACGAGCCCCUUCCAAGGCACAGCUAGUCGGCCCUUCAGUUUGCCGCCGCUGACCCCACUGCCCUUCCAAGCACAAUGAGCAGAGGGAGGAGAGGGAGAGAGAGGUCUUUACUCCUCAAGUUGCCAAUUGAUCAUCUUCCUAACCCCUCUGGGGGCUUCUUCGUCCAAACAAUUCAGGUGACAGAGGUCAGGGCUCCAGCCCAUUCCUUGGGGAGAUCUUAGCUCUCCCUGCAGGGACUUUCCCAGGUGAAACAAAGACAAGCUCUAGAAGCCUUAAACAAACUCCUGCUGAUGACGCAGAGCAGAAACAGAGAAAGGGGAAAUUAGAGGUGCUCAGAAUCACAACACUGGGCCUCAGGCCUUUCAUCCAGCCAGACCUCAACACCCUUUUCACACUCUGUGACUGGGCCAUGCAUUGUGGAAGCCCAGUCAUGUCCAAACCCCCAACAUGGCAGCUAAUGACAACCACCUGGUAACAGGGUUGGGGAUAGAAGCCAUGUAAGGGAUGGAAACAGCUCUUAUUUUUGCCCACCCUGGCUUUUAGCUGAUUAACCAGACUUCUAAUAUGCAAAAUAUCAGAAGAUGAGAAAGAAGAGGCAGAGAAAGAAGAAGGAAGAAGAUGGAGGAAGAUGAGGACAAUGAUGAGAAGGAGGAGGAUGAAGAAGAAGAAAGAAGAAAUAGUUUAUGAGGUCGAUGAGCAGACGUCCCGGGAUUCACCUGCACAGCUGUCCACAAAGGUGGCAAUCCCAACAGGUGAGAGGGAGGGAGUCUCCCCCAACCAGGGUGUCUCCAGUCUGCCCUGCGCUGAUUCACACCUGGGUGGAAUCCCAGACAGUGUGGGAAAUAUCCUCGGAGACCCUGACUCCCCCUCCCACUAGAUGGACCAGGAGACCCUGGCUGGUCCAGAGUGUGACUCACCCACUCCCCCCCACAAGGGCCCAUGUGAGGUUUUCCCUACACGAUCUGCUUCACGGAUUGUUAUCCCCUCCAGAAAUAUUGUAAUCAUAAAAGCGGACCAUGCUGAGCAGAUAACACUUACUACAGGAGAAGGGAAGGGGAGAAAGAGAACAAAUACAUAUUGAUUCCCUAUUAUGAGCCAUGUUAAUGUUCAUGCUGUGCUAAUGUGCUUAAGAAUAUUUUAUUAAUUCUAAUAUCUCUCUUGCUAUCCAUACAACAAUUACUUUUUGAGUACCUAAUAUGUUCCAGGCAUGUUUGAGGCAUGGGGAAAAACCAGCAAUUGAAACAGACAAAAAUCCUGUCCUCAUCACACAUUCUAGCAGAGAAACAAGAAAAUGAAUAGGACGCCUAGCAUAUUAGCAAGUGAUCAGUGCUGCAGAGAAAAAGAAAGCGGGGAAGGAAGACAAGAAGUGCCAGCUGGUAGGUGGGGGUGGUGGAAGGGGUGCAAUGUAAAAUUAGGUGGUCCAGGAAGGCACCUUUGAGAAGGUGACAUUUAAACAAAGACUCAAAGAGGGUAGGGAACGACCCAUGGCCACAUUUGGAGGAGAAGAUUCUAGGUAUAGGAACUGCCUGCAUAGGGUAUGAUCCUGUGGCUGGAACGUGUGUGGUCUGUGCCAGGUUCAGCAAACCCAGUCUGGCAGGUAAAACACUAAGCCCACUUUCUAAACAUGGAAAGAACUGGCUCUUCUUGGUGGCUCGCCAGGUUAAUUCAUAGGAUAUAUUUGUUUUCCAACAAAAGUCAUCUUGCAAGGACAGAGGAGUUGGAUCACAGGAGAAUGUAUUAAUGGGCCCAACUCUGUCCUUCCUGCUGGCCUGGAGCCCAAUCCCACCGCUGUUCACCCUGAGACAAAUCAUGUUGCUUGAGCCUCAGUUUUCUCUUCUGCAAAAUGGGGGGGGGGGGGGGGAUAACAUUUAACAACACCGAUCCCAAGAGAUUGGACUAAAUACCUUGUAUAAAGCACUUCGUAAACUGCGACAUACUGUAGAAAUUGUUUAUCGUUCUUCUUAUUAUACUGUAAAAGCAGCUCAAGGUCUAUAUCCAAGUCAGGUCGGGUCUGCAAAACCACUUUCAUAGGCAGAGAGAACUUCUUGGUUCUCUUUGCUAGGUUGCAAAACUAUUUUUACUUUGGUGUUACAAGUAAUCUUACUACUUGGGGUGGGAAGAAGAGAUUUUAUGAGGCUCUCACCAGCCCCUCUGAACUUUGGCUGGAUCUACCAGACUGUUUCCCAAACCUGAGUUAAUCCUACCCCCACCCUUACAUUCACCCCACUUUGGCUUCUGUCUCCCAGCAUUGUGGAGAGACUGGCGUGUCUGUGCCAAUGGUCUCUAUCACUAAGUCUCACGGGGUGACCACAACCGGGCUCUCAGCAGUGCCAAACAAUUUUCAUCUUCUGGUUAAGUCCUUGUUUGCUUCCUGCGGUCAGAGCUCGGAAUCCUAGUCCCCAAGCCCACAGCCCCUCCCCUCACUCUGGGCAGAUGGCUGGGCUGCAGCUGCUCGAAGAGGUGCAAGUUCAACCCCACAGGCUCCUCCCUGCCUGGACAUUCCUUACCACACCUCAGUCUCCCCUUUACUCCACCCAUCUUCUCUAGGUCCAGAGCCAACAUCAUUCCCCUGUGGAGGGGAUGACUUCUUCUUGUGCUCAUGGCCAACAUCGCACCUUCUAUAGAAAUAAUCAGAGUGACUCCAAAGAACUUGCAAAUAAGGAAGCCGACUGCUGUAUUGUUUAUCAUGAAAACUGAGAAGCAACUCUAUGUCUAACCAAAGGAGGCUGAUUAAACUGUGGAUGCGUACAGCCAUGAGAUGGCAAGGAAAACUUUAUAAACAGCAUGUCUCAGUGUUGCUAAAAGCCAAAUAAAAUUGGCAACAGCAAACACAAACAUGUGUGUACAGAAAAAAAAAAGACUGGAAGGAAAUAUACAAAAAUAUAAAUAACAAUUACCUUCAGGCGAUGACAUUAUGAGUGAUUUUUACUUUCAGUAUUUUACUAUAUUCUGAAAUGUCUACUGUAAACAUGCAGUAUUUCUAUGAUUAGAACAAACAGCAAAAAUAUUAUUAAAACUUCUCUGUAAAAGCUGAAUGCAAUUCAGUUCUUGUCCCUUGAAAUGCAGCCUUUCCCUGGUGGGGUCUGGUUGACAGCUGGACAGUAACUCUCAUUACAUGUAAGGCCUAGAAGAAAACCAUAACCAAUUAACAUUACAGCGGGAACUGAGGCAUGCAGAAUGGAAAUGCCUCAAUGGGAACGUUAUUACUAAUUUUUUUUUCUUUUGUGGGACAGGUGUUUAGAGGAAUGUGUUAAAUUGGCUUCAGAUGACUUAUUUUUUAAAUAUGAUGGUUACUUCAUUUUCUGCCUCUGUUUUCAUGAGAACCCUUACUAUGGGGAAGGGUUCAGCAUGGAUACUUUGUUCUAAGCCUGUUUAACCUAUUUACCUGAGGCCCUACUGUGUGCUGGCCCUGAUGAUACAAGGGGUUACCUGCCAGUGCUCCUUAUCAGGGGCUUUGGAAAUGUUUGGGGGUGAUUUUGAUUGUCCAAAUGAUUGAAGAAAAGUGCUACCAAUUUAGUGGGUAAGGGCCAGGGCUGCUAAACAUUCUAUGCUAUCCUGGACAGUCCUAUGUAACCAAGGAUUGACCUCCCUCUCAUGCUACCACCCCCAGGGAGAAACCCUGAACAGGACAGUGAAAGUAGGGAAAGUCUGGAAGGGCCAGAGGAAAAGGAGGGCAUGGCUGCUUCUCAACCUUGUGCUAGGAGUCGGGGGUCACCCGAUCUCCCCGGUUUUCCAGUGGAGCUAGAAGUGUAGAUGAUGAUGUAAAUUUUCCCAAUUUUUAAAAAACACUGUAUGGGCCAAAGAAAACACAUCUGUGGGCCAGAUUUGGCCCGCAGGUUGCCAAUCUGCAACCACAUCUUAGGGAAAGUCACAGUCCCUGUCUCCGUGAGAGGAGUAUGAUCGAGCCCAUAGGAGUUCAAGUUCAAGUUCUUGAGUGGACUGACCUGGGUUCAAAUCACGGCUCUGUCAUUCACUAGCGACAAUAGCCAGCAAGUUAACAUCCUCUGACCCUCACUUCCCUCCUCCGUAAGAUGGAACUAAUGGGUACACUCAUUGGUUUGUUACAAAGAUGAAUCCAAAUGGGAGAAGUCCCCAAUGAGGUGCACAUGGGAAGUGCUUAAUAAAGUAGAUCACAGUCGAGAAUAAGUACUUACUGUGCAUAGGACACAGUGCUAGGUGCUGAGGGCUUCUAAAUAAGUGUGAGAGGAAGCCCUUGACCCAGAGGUGUUUUCAUUCUGGAGAAAGAUAGACCCAAGACAUAAAUAUUUUAAGCUGGUCAGAUAUACGAAUGUGACUGACAUGGACAUUUAUAGGAGACUGGAGGUCGGUACCUCUCGUGAAGGAGGUGGGGGGUCAAGGUGUUGGAGUCCAGCCAGAGAGAGCGGGGAGGGAAGGAGUGGCCUGAGCCAAGGACAGAUUACAAGAUCAUAGUAAGAAUCGAGUGCGUACCACAUGCCAGGCACUGUCUAAGCGCUCCAUGGGGUGAUGGAUAGGCUCCUUUGGCCUCAUACAUAUGAGGGAUAAGGCAUGGGCCCGGAAAGAUCCCCUGGAACUGGGGGAAGGGGGUGCUGACCCCAGGCCAGACCAUGGCAGAGUUUUUAAUGUGUUGGCAGGGGAGGGGAAGCCAAGAAGUGACAGUAAUCUGGGGUGGAGCACAGGAUGGAGUGGGGGUGGAGAUGAGGCAGCAGACUUGUGGGGAGGCCAUGAGUGAGGCCAGGGCAUGGGUGCGGAGCCCCAUGGAGGGAUUUCUUUCCCAGGUUUCUAUACAGACCCAAUUGAGGGGGGAGGGAUGCUGUCAAAACUGAUUGCCUAGGGGAUGAUGGGAAUUUUAUAUAGAGAAAAUGAUUUUUUUAAAAUUUUUAUUUAUUUAUGAUAGUCACAGAGAGAGAGAGAGAGAGAGAGAGAGAGAGAGAGAGAGAGGCAGAGACAUAAGCAGGCUCCAUGCACUGAGAGCCCGACGUGGGAUUCAAUCCCGGGUCUCCAAGAUCGCACCCUGGGCCAAAGGCAGACGCCAAACCGCUGCACCACCCAGGGAUCC
rnacentral:lncRNA from 1 species